CUGGUGCUUUAUCACAGUGAUAUUUAUCACUUUUCAGGCUUAGUACAUCUCCCCCUCAGAGAGGACUGGCUGCGUGUAUCAGGCCAGCAGCAGCAGCUCUCCUCUGUGUUUGCUCCUCGGCUCUCACUGCUGCCUUCCCACACUGUCCUGGAGCUGGGGCCUCCAGUCCACUAGCCAGGCUGCCGGUCCGUGUCAGAUUUGAAAUAGCGGCGGUCAUAGGUGGACCGGAGCCGGACUGAAGGCUGUUGACCAGAGCCGCCUCCCCUGCACCGCAGCCCACAGCCGCCUCCUCCGCAACGCCGCCGCCCACAGAUUCUUCCUCCUCACUGCCGCCGACCACAGCAUCCUCAUCCUCCGCACCGCCGACCACAGCCUCCUCCGCACCGCCGCUGCUCAUUAGCGUCUCCAUGGCCACACAGGAGGGAGCCGCGACGUCACUUCCGGUUCCGCUGGUGCGAGCGUUGACGCUGGACGGGAUGCCCGAGUGGUGUGGCCAGAGGAGAACGAGCGUGGGUAAUCAUGCAAGGGGGCUGCUGUGAUGCGGAGAUUGGAGUACAGCACGCUGCACUGUGUGUGAAGUAAAACAUGCGUUGCCAUGGUCACGCAGCCCACGGAGCAAUGAUACGUCACUUCCGUCUUAGAUGUGACACACAGAAUACCGGACAGGAAGUGCGGCUGGCGUGGAGAUCAGAAAGAGGAGGGGGGGGUGUAUUUAUUGUUCAUUGUUGUCACUGUGUGUUUGUCCUGAAGACGGGGAGGUGGUCCCCGAAACG